GUAGGUGGCAAGCGUUGUCCGGAAUUAUUGGGCGUAAAGCGCGCGCAGGUGGUUCUUUAAGUCUGAUGUGAAAGCCCCCGGGCUCAACCGGGGAGGGUCAUUGGAAACUGGGGAACUUGAGUGCAGGAGAGGAAAGUGGAAUUCCACGUGUAGCGGUGAAAUGCGUAGAUAUGUGGAGGAACACCAGUGGCGAAGGCGACUUUCUGGCCUGUAACUGACACUGAGGCGCGAAAGCGUGGGGAGCAAACAGGAUUAGAUACCCUGGUGGUCCACGCCGUAAACGAUGAGUGCUAAGUGUUGGGGGGUUUCCGCCCCUCAGUGCUGCAGCUAACGCAUUAAGCACUCCGCCUGGGGAGUACGGUCGCAAAGACUG
rnacentral:rRNA from 1 species